CGGAUAUCUAGGCUCUUGCAUCGAUGAAGAACGUAGCGAAAUGCGAUACUUGGUGUGAAUUGCAGAAUCCCGUGAACCAUCGAGUUUUUGAACGCAAGUUGCGCCUGAUGCCAUUAGGUUGAGGGCACGUCUGCCUGGGCGUCACAUAUCGAAGAAUCUUGCCA
rnacentral:rRNA from 1 species